GCUCAGGUGGCCGAGCGGUUCAGGCAUCUGUCGCGUAAACGGAGGACGCUGGUUCGAUUCCAGCCCUGGGCA